rnacentral:lncRNA from 1 species
CGUCGGCUAGCCGAAUUUCUGGGUUUUACCCGAGACCCAUCUCUUUACCAGCAGCAUCAUCAUCAAUUAAGCAAUAGUUAGCAAUCAUCAAGCAUCAACAAAUCUAUCUCUGGCUUAUUCAGAAAUCAAAGGGAAGAAUUGAAGAGUGCGUGUAAUCGAAGGGAAAGCUCCAGAAGAUCGAAGAUGAAGAGGUGACCUAGAAUUGGCAGCCUACAAACAGCUGCUAUUCAUCAGCUUUCUAGUCAUCCAUCGAUUCUCUUUAUAUAAAUCUUUAUUAGCACCAAGCAUCGCCAAUCAGGACUCUAUCAAUUAGUAGCAGUUAGUUACAAGAUUGCCAGCAACAAGUAGAUCUCUGAGUUAAUCAGAAAUCGAAAAGAUGAAUAAGAUUGUAAUCGUCAAUGGUUGGAGCGGCAAAAGUAAUUGAGGAUUGAUGUACGAUGAUGGCUACGAUUGGAUAUUUGAAUCACUGGAGGACAUGCAUCAAGGUAGAGUAACUAGAGUUGGAUGGAGAUAGAAGAUGAAGGAUGAAAGCAUGGAGGAGUGGAAUCGAUUCUUUGAGAGUUGAAGAGAUGAUAGCGUUAGCAGC